rnacentral:rRNA from 1 species
CUUGGCAGUCUCAGCACGACUACAUUAGAUACCCCGGUAGUCCCAGCCGUAAACUAUGCUCGCUAGGUGUCAGGGACGGUGCGACCGUUUCUGGUGCCGCAGGGAAGCCGUGAAGCGAGCCACUUGGGGAGUACGUCCGCAAGGAUGAAACUUAAAGGAAUUGGCGGGGGAGCACCACAACAGGUGGAGCCUGCGGUUUAAUUGGACUCAACGCCGGGAAGCUCACCGGAUAGGACAGCAGAAUGAUUGCCGGGCUGAAGACCCUGCAUGACUAGCUG